rnacentral:lncRNA from 1 species
UAGGUAGCUUAGGGAUUCUCGUUGUUCCUAUAUGUCUCACCAUUACAGACAGUUACAUAAUUUUUAUGCCCAAAGAUUUAAGGACCGGAUACACCUAGGAGAAACAGAUAAUUUAAUAGAAUUGAAUCCAGGUAACCCCUGAGCAUGUAACCCACAACUAUUUAUUAAACUCUGAAUUACACUAUCCUUUCAGACAGGUAGACUCACUUUAGCAGCACCCCAAUAUCUCUCCUCAACACCCUUUUCCUCUUCUAUAUAGUCCCAUUUUUCCCCUCUCUCUCUCUUCUUAAUGCCUUCUGUUGGACCUCUCAGCUUGACUUGAGUUUAUUACUUUAAAUAAUGAAUAAAGCUUCAGAAAUGCCUGCUAACAGAUAUAAUAAAUGCAAGUUUUUCUAAUCAGUGAGAACCUAAGAAGGAAACUUGAGGUAACAUUAAUAUUAUUACUCCUUUUACAUCAUGAAGCAGAUGAAAGAAUCAGACUGGAAGAAUUGCGUCAAAAGGUAAACUUGUUCAUACUGAGUCUAUCGGAAAUAUUCUCCAGUAUUACUUAUGAAACUAGUCAAAUACUUAGGUAUUGUCGGGAGAAGCAAAAACAGUAACCUAUCUGUAUACUGAACUGGAACUGGUAUGCAUUCUAUGAAUUAG